AAGGCAGCCGCCGCAGGCUAACGGGAGCCAGGAAGAGGAGCAGACGGCUGUGCGGCCAGGACAGGACCACAGCUGCCCACCGCACAGACAGCACCCCAGGGGCUAGGGGAGCUUUGGGGGAGGUCGCACACUCCCCUUUCCACAGCCCAGAGAUAAGAUCUACCGCCCAUCUCGGAAAGCCUCCAAAGGCGAGAUUAAUUGGACAGCCCAACACGAGUCGCAUCGUUAAAACAACAGCCCAGGUUGUAAAGUUGCGUAGCACAAGGAGUGUAAUUACUCUGCCCGCCAGAGGCCAGCAGAACUGAUGGGAGGGGAGGGGUUACAGCGGAGGUGAUCCUUACUGUCGUCCAUCCAGUCACCUGGCGCCUCUGCAGACUUGCCUCCGGAGGCGGAGGCGGAACUUCGCAUGCCCCAAUCCCCACCGGACGCAAAGGGACUCAGCCGAGGCCAGAAAGCAGGGACUUGCUUCGGAGAACAUCCAGGACUGCUG